rnacentral:piRNA from 1 species
UGGUGACCGCACAGAGAAUACUAAGGAA